rnacentral:lncRNA from 1 species
AGAUUCGAAUGUUAUUUUGCAUCUCUCAUUGAUGCGAUAGUAAGUCUCGCAACACUGCCAUAGUUUGUUUUGCGCAUCAUGGCGGUCGAUGUUGCAGUUCGUGUUGUUUUGAGUUUCGUUGCGGCUUUUGGUACGGCUCAUCUCGGUCGCAGUAGCUGUAAAUUCGGACACUUUCUUCGGAUCCAUCACCUUCCUCGUUCGGAAGCAGAAGGUUCCGGUGCCACUCACAUCCAGGAUGGAAGGAACAGAUUUGGAAUACAAGUCCGAACGUAGGUAUUGGGGGAAGUGGGGAAGUUUCCCCAUGACAGGAGGAUGGAAGUACAAUGGCAGAGAAGCCUACGGAUUUUUGUUGUGCACCUGGAUGAGCUGGAGAAUGUAACCAAAUACAUCCAUGAAUGCCCGAUCCGGUGAAUCCCUAAUACAGCCAACCAACGAUAACGAUACAGAUUGGUACGAAAAACAUGAACGGGCUCUGUGAAUCAUUGAACUGGUUGCUGAGGGAACCAAACCACAUCCUCGAGUGCACGUAUCUAAUCUGGAAGGGUUCACUGCGGUUCCUCGGAUUCAUGAUUUGAAGCCUCCCAGCCUUAUGCUCUGCAUUUGAAUAAUUCUCCAAUAAAUAUGUAAUACCUAAAUGCUGCAAUAAAAAUAAUUGAUAAUUGAAA